rnacentral:rRNA from 1 species
GAUGAACGCUGGCGGCGUGCCUAAUACAUGCAAGUAGAACGCUGAAGCUUGGUGCUUGCACCGAGCGGAUGAGUUGCGAACGGGUGAGUAACGCGUAGGUAACCUGCCUCUUAGCGGGGGAUAACUAUUGGAAACGAUAGCUAAUACCGCAUAAAAGUCGAUAUCGCAUGAUAUUGAUUUGAAAGGUGCAAUUGCAUCACUAAGAGAUGGACCUGCGUUGUAUUAGCUAGUUGGUGAGGUAACGGCUCACCAAGGCAACGAUACAUAGCCGACCUGAGAGGGUGAUCGGCCACACUGGGACUGAGACACGGCCCAGACUCCUACGGGAGGCAGCAGUAGGGAAUCUUCGGCAAUGGGGGCAACCCUGACCGAGCAACGCCGCGUGAGUGAAGAAGGUUUUCGGAUCGUAAAGCUCUGUUGUAAGAGAAGAACGAGUGUGAGAGUGGAAAGUUCACACUGUGACGGAACUACCAGAAAG